AUAAGGAUAAGAGGAUUUGAUUUAGUUCAACUUUUUUGGUGGUGUUUUCUCUCUGGAUGAGGUAUUGGAAUUGAAUCAUGAACAUGCUUUUGUGCAGUUAAACCACCGAGUGUAUUGGAGAUUAACUUCGGGGAUUCAGGCGCAAGAUUUUGUCUGCACAAUUUUCCCAACUUAACUUUGCCAUUUGUUCUCGCCUUAUGUUUUGGUUUGAUCUGGUCUUCCGUCAGUUUGACAAGUAGUUUCUUUUGUUUAUUUUCAGCUUUCUGCAUACGUGUUUGCCAUAAUUUGGCACAUUACCCUAAUUGGAGAAUAUUGCUUGAACGCUGUGAGGUGUCUGAAUUAUGUUAAAACUUUUGGAUUGUUGUGCUGGCCUUAAAACUGUUCUUGCAUGGAAAUUGCAACUAUGAUUUUGUUUUGUGCGCGCAUAACUAGAAACUUCUUUUCGGUUCAUCUCUGUCACUCUUCAUGUUGAGUAGUGUUUGGCAGCAUCUGGACUUUG